rnacentral:lncRNA from 1 species
CUGUAGAACAGCCCACUGGGCAAAAAAUUGUUGAAUCAAUAUUUUUCCACGUCAUUUCGACCCCAAAAAUCUAUGUGAUGAAGUUAAAUCAAUGCGGGAAACCAAUUGGAUUUGCAAAACCUCAUCAACUUGAAUGUGCUGACAACAAAAUCACACAAAAAUAAUCAAUGGAAAUCCAAUUUAUCAACCCAUGGAGGUCUGGAUUUGGAGUCACACUCAAAAUUAAAGUGGAAAACCACACUACAGGCUGAUCCAACUUUGAUGUAAUGUCCUUAAAACAAGUCAAAAUGAGGCUCAGUAGUGUGUGUGGUCUCCACGUGCCUGUAUGACCUCCGUACAACGCCUGGGCAUGCUCCUGAUGAGCUGGCGGAUGGUCUCCUGAGGGAUCUCCUCCCAGACCUGGACGAAAGCAUCCGCCAACUCCUGGACAGUAUGUGGUGCAACGUGGCGUUGGUGGAUGGAGUGAGACAUGAUGUCCCAGAUGUGCUCAAUUGGAUUCAGGUCUGGGGAACGGGCGGGCCAGUCCAUAGCAUCAAUGCCUUCCUCUUGCAGGAACUGCUGACACACUCCAGCCACAUGAGGUCUAGCUUUGUCUUGCAUUAGGAGGAACCCAGGGCCAACCGCACCAGCAUAUGGUCUCACAAGGGGUCUGAGGAUCUCAUCUCGGUACCCAAUGGCAGUCAGGCUACCUCUGGCGAGCACAUGGAGGGCUGUGCGGCCCCCCAAAGAAAUGCCACCCCACACCAUGACUGAUCCACCGCCAAACCGGUCAUGCUGGAGGAUGUUGCAGGCAGCAGAACGUUCUCCACGGCAUCUCCAGACUCUGUCACGUCUGUCACGUGCUCAGUGUGAACCUGCUUUCAUCUGUGAAGAGCACAGGGCGCCAGUGGCGAAUUUGCCAAUCUUGGUGUUCUCUGGCAAAUGCCAAACGUCCUGCACGGUGUUGGGCUGUAAGCACAACCCCCACCUGUGGACGUCGGGCCCUCAUACCACCCUCAUGGAGUCUGUUUCUGACCGUUUGAGCAGACACAUGCACAUUUGUGGCCUGCUGGAGGUCAUUUU